rnacentral:SRP_RNA from 2 species
GCCGGGCAUGGUGGCACAUGCCUGUAAUCCCAGCUCCUUGGGAGGCUGAGGCAGGAGAAUUGCUUGAACCCGGGAGGUGGAGGUUGCAGUGAGCCGAGAUCACACCACACUGCACUCCAGCCUGGGUGACAGAGCAAGAUUCAGUCUCAA